CUAAACACCAACAACAAACACUGGGAAUAAUGGACUUGUGCCUCAGACUGUGUCAGAUGUAUGUGCAGCCGAACCUCACACGUGGAGAGUGAAAGUCCAGUGUCAGGAAGAAGCUGUUAUGAGUUCUGAAUGCUCUACCAUCACUGCUCUACCUGAGGCCAGGCUUUUAUGACUGCCUGAUCGAUUAUGGUCUUGUUGUUAGCACCUCGCACACCCACAUAUCCAUCAGAACCUCGAUGGUUUGAGUUGAGGAUGGAGAGCAGAUCCUGGUAGAUGAUACUGUGUUAUUGUCACCUGUAACUUGAUGUCUCAACCUGACUUCAGUCUUGCUACUACUGUACUCUGGUAUGACAUCAGUGCCUCUACCCCCCUUGCUGCAGUGUUUAAACACCAUGCCUCACACCCAUGCACUAGAGGGGCCCCUCUUUACAGCACUUAACUUUACGGUGUUUCGCUAAUCCAGCGGUUUUCAGUUAUAGCCAUUCUUCAUUUAUUCAGACUUCCUACAAUAAAUAUAUUCCCUACUCACUAUAAGCUAAGGAUGAAAAUAUUUUAAGGUAAGUAAUGUGUGUACUGUAUAUGCAUUUUUUUAGUCCUGGCUAUAUUGUUCACUUAACCCUUUCAGGGUUUCAGCUGUACUAGUACGGCUUAUGCACCAGGGUUUUUGACGUACUAGUAUGCAUAAACUCUAGUGCCUUCAAAUCUCGUGGGAAAAGGCUGGUAGGCAUAGAUGUGAGAGAAUAGGUGUGUGUGGUCAGUGUGCAUGGUAGAAAAAAAAUCUGGGACCCAUUGGCGCAUUGUGUGAACGCCAUUUUAGUAGACCUUGUUCACCAUUCCUCUCGGUAAGAAGCUCCUCACUCCUCGGCGAAUUGGGACACUUUUGUUCCCCAGUGACAGUUCUAAUACAGAUGGAAGUGCCAGUGAAGAUGAGUUUCAAGGUUUUGGUGAGGUUGUGACCGAAACUAAUGACCAUAAUAUCGGUAAUAGUGAGGAAAACCCAGACGACCCUCAGCCUUCCACCUCUGCUGCUGGGCCGUCUUGUUCACGUUCAGUUGUACCAGAAUCAAAGAGGAAACUCCUAUUUUCCCAAAUCCCGGACUCAGAUGUGAGCAUUGGUGAUGAUAGUAAUAGUGAAUAUGAACUACAAGGUCUUGAAACCAGUUCCAGUAGUG